AGGGCGGUCACUAUCCUUUCACAGCCAUGGAGGUCACCUUCUUACUCUGGAACAGCCAUUCAGAAGGAUUAAAAAAUAAUGCACAUUUCUCCCUGACUGAUAAAAUUUAAGUUAGCUGCUUACAGAAGUUCACCUACAGGACCCCUCCAACAUCUCACCAUCUCAUCUCAAUGUCCUACCUUUGUGAAGAACUGUACUGUAACAGGCCCUGUGGAAGGUCCCUGCUAGAGAUACAAAGGUGAUGAGACACCAUCAUAACCUCAAAAAGAAGUUCAACUCUAGAACAAGAAUGGAAGACCUUAUUGCUGAAGACACUACCCACUUGGGUUGCAUGACAUUGGGAAAUCAAUCUGGAUCUGACUUGGAAGUUGCCUCUAGGGUGACCAGCAUUCAUAGAACCCAAAGAUGCUACUCAAGCUGCAGGGAGAGUCUUACCACAGCUGUGAGCUACAAUAAUGGCCUCCUAGCAAGACAUAACCACUGGUGCAAUAUUGGCAUGACUACAUAUGAGGUAACCAGCUUCUAUGGUGGGUUCUGAGACCUGUUUCCCUGAAGAGAGCUCAUGCCAGCACUGUAAAUCUGGGCAAGAGCUAGUGGUUGAGGCGAUCAUGCCCCUGUGAAAGAACUGUCUUGAUAAAUGGGCAUUGUCUCAGACUACCUUCUCAAUGUUUGUCUUUGUACUUACUGACUAAUGCUGUCCUCAGUCUUCAUCAGCGUCUAUUUGUCGUAGGCAGCAAUUAACACAGAGACUCACAACUGGACGAUGUAUGGAAAAUAAGUAACUGGAAUACUCAGUCCUCAGUGGGAGAUUUAUAUCACACAACCCUCCUCCAAAGCUCAGGGAACAUUGUAGAAGAGGGGAGAGAAAUGUAAUUACAGGGUCAGGAGUCAAGGAGUGCCGUGAACAGUGUCUUCUACACACGAGAGGCCCUGUACUCAAAAAGUCACUGAAGCGGUGCAUACUUGCACUAGAUCUG